rnacentral:rRNA from 1 species
GUGCCAGCAGCCGCGGUAAUACGUAGGGUGCGAGCGUUAAUCGGAAUUACUGGGCGUAAAGCGUGCGCAGGCGGUUCUGAAAGUCAGCUGUGAAAGCCCCGGGCUUAACCUGGGAAUUGCGGUUGAAACUACAGGGCUAGAAUCUGGCAGAGGGGGGUGGAAUUCCACGUGUAGCAGUGAAAUGCGUAGAGAUGUGGAGGAACACCGAUGGCGAAGGCAGCCCCCUGGGCUGAGAUUGACGCUCAGGCACGAAAGCGUGGGGAGCAAACAGGAUUAGAAACCCCUGUAGUCC